rnacentral:lncRNA from 1 species
CUUGGUUGACGGGAUUUGAUAUUUUGUUAGGCUUAGUAUGUCUUACCUGUUCAAGCACGACUGUGGUUAAGCAAGUUUUUUCACAACAAUUUAAAUAAGGUACCGACAAAUUAGCUGCAGUUCUGUAGCUAUUUUGUCCUGUAAUAACUUAUUAUACCCCACUACAACAAUAUAGUCCACAAACCAUUGGGGGACGACCAUUUGAUAUUCUGUGGGAGACAAGCAGGUUUUUUUUUCGGAUUAGCUAUUCAAUUUCAUAUGUUGCUACGCAUGUUCAUUUUGUAAAUCACAAUUACCUUAUUUGUUCAAUUUGCGUUCAACAGAUUGACAAUAUUAGAUAAUGAUUCAAGAUAAAAUUUAAAAAAAACAUUGUAUAUGAUCGAUCGUCACCAAUAACCAAAUUACCUGACUGUUUAUAAAAGAACUCGGAAUUCCAAUAUAUGUUUGCUUUUGAAUUUUUCUAAUAACUAUGAUUUGACACAACAAAGCGGAAACACAUGACUCAACAUUGAACCAUGAAUAUUGAUUCGUUUUCUAAGGAAAUAGAAUCAACCCAAAACACUUUCGGCCAAACAUACGGACACCGUUAUUUUUUUUUUUUUUUUUUAUUGACAUAGCUUCCCAACAUUACCCAGUGACUAAAACCAUCAAACUAUUCCUUAAAGGAAUUAAUGGCUUGAUGCUCUUUCUUUCAACUUAUUCAAACCAUGUUUAUCAUUUUGCAUAUAUUCUUGAAAAGUAAUGAUAGGGUUUUUUUUUAUGUUAACAGUUUCCUGUCAUAAGCGAAAAUGCAAAAAAAAUAAAUAAAAAAUCGUCUUUUAAGGUGUAUACUAUGUAGCAACAUUCCAGCAGCGCCUGAAUACAGAGUAUAUAUCUCCCAGUUGAUUCGAAAUUCCAGGGCUUUUGUUUCCUAUCAUGAGGGGGGGCAAGGGGGGUCCCAAUAACAGCAAAACAGCAAAUUGAUUUGGCUCAUAACAGAUAACAAGGAAUUAAAAUGGACAAAAACAGAUAACAGUAAAUGAAAUAUUAAAAUAAUUCGGUCUUUGACAAAUCAGUAUUUCUUAUUACGGAUAUAAUCCUUUGUAAUGCAUUCCAUUUUUAUGACUAUGUUUUUAGUAUUAAUUUAUGUAUCUAGAAUGUGUUUAAAUUACUACUCAAUAUAUUAUAAUAUUUUUUAUACGCUCGUUUACGGAACGUAUUAUGGUAUACUGUUGUCCGUCUGUUGUCAAC